rnacentral:piRNA from 1 species
UGCCGGGUGGCAUAUGUGGACACUAGGGC